GGAGGAUUCGCCUAGAGGCCUAGGGCGCCGCACUGCUAAUGCGGUUUCGGGGCAACCCGAUCGAGGGUUCGAAUCCCUCAUCCUCCG
rnacentral:tRNA from 1 species